rnacentral:rRNA from 1 species
GACAGAGGGGGCAAGCGUUGCUCGGAAUUACUGGGCGUAAAGGGUGCGCAGGCGGUUCGUUGUGUCGGCGGUGAAAGCCCCCGGGCUCAACCUGGGAAUGGCCGUUGAAACUGGCGAACUGGAGUGUGGCAGAGGGGGGUGGAAUUCCGCGUGUAGCAGUGAAAUUCGUAGAUAUUGGCUGGAACACCGGUGGCGAAAGCGGCUCUCUGGCCCGGUUCUGACGCUGAGGCGCGAAAGCGUGGGGAGCAAACAGGGAGUUAGA